GCCCGGUUAGCUCAAUCGGUAGAGCGUGAGACUCUUAUACCAGCGCGGUUUACUCGCCAUCUCAAGGUUGCGGGUUCGACCCCCGCAUCGGGCU